rnacentral:rRNA from 1 species
UACGUAGGGGGCAAGCGUUGUCCGGAAUCAUUGGGCGUAAAGCGCGCGUAGGCGGCCCGGUAAGUCCGCUCUGAAAGUCCAGGGCUCAACCCUGGAAAGCGGGUGGAUACUGCCGGGCUAGAAUCCGGAAGAGGCGAGUGGAAUUCCUGGUGUAGCGGUGGAAUGCGCAGAUAUCAGGAGGAACACCGGUGGCGAAGGCGGCAUCCUGGACCGGCAUUGACGCUGAGGCGCGAAAGCGUGGGGAGCGAACAGG